CCUACGGGUGGCUGCAGUGGGGAAUAUUGCACAAUGGGGGGAACCUUGAUGCAGCAACGCCGCGUGGGUGAAGAAGUACUCCGGUAUGUAAAGCCCUGUUAGCAGGGAAGAAAAUGACGGUACCUGACCAAGAAGCCCCGGCGAACUACGUGCCAGCAGCCGCGGUAAUACGUAGGGGGCAAGCGUUAUCCGGAUUUACGGGGUGUAAAGGGAGCGUAGACGGGAAGGCAAGUCUGGAGUGAAAGCCCGUGGCUCAACCAGGGGACAGCGUUGGAAACUGUGUUGCUGGAGUGCAGGAGAGGUAAGCGGAAUUCCUAGUGUAGCGGUGAAAUGCGUAGAUAUUAGGAGGAACACCAGUGGCGAAGGCGGCUUACUGGACUGUAACUGACGUUGAGGCUCGAAAGCGUGGGGAGCAAACAGGAUUAGAUACCCGGGUAGUC
rnacentral:rRNA from 1 species